UUAGCUCAAAGUCCAUACGGCGGCAGUCCGUUAGCAUCUGAUAUCUUGCGGGAAGGACAGCUUGGCGACUAUGUGAACGUACGGAAGCUUAUGGAGAUUUUGAUUUGUAAAGUGAUCAAGGGAGACAUGCAAGCUCUCGAAGAUUUAACGUAUGAGAGGAGGAAGAAAUUUUUAAUGCAGCACCACAUGCCAGCAGAGCUCCCUGUGGUAUCAUUCCACACCGAAGCCAGCAUUUCACCUGCUGUUUUGGCCACCUUGUCUCGUGUUGCUCAUGCAGAACUGCCG
rnacentral:misc_RNA from 1 species